AUACAGAGGGUGCGAGCGUUAAUCGGAAUUACUGGGCGUAAAGCGCGCGUAGGCGGCUUGGUCAGUCGGAUGCGAAAGCCCCGGGCUCAACCUGGGAAUGGCAUUCGAUACUGCCAGGCUAGAGUAUGGGAGAGGGAAGUGGAAUUUCCGGUGUAGCGGUGAAAUGCGUAGAUAUCGGAAGGAACACCAGUGGCGAAGGCGACUUCCUGGCCCAAUACUGACGCUGAGGUGCGAAAGCGUGGGGAGCGAACAGGAUUAGAUACCCGAGUAGUCC
rnacentral:rRNA from 1 species